UAAAUGUUUAAUUCAUCAAAUUAAUAGAAAGGGAAAAAGUAGGUCUGACAAAAGAAUUCGUUGGACAAAAUAGUCACACACAACACAUAUGGCCUUUUCGCCGGCUGUGUUACACACGCGCCACCUUUGAAAAGCCGGUUUACAGACCAGGUGUGCUCUUCUACCCAGUCACUAUAAAACACGUGUUUGAAACUCUGUAGAACUCUUAGCAACGAGCCAAGGAUUGGACAAUUCAAAACAAAACAAAAGAAAGAAGAUCUCUCUCUCUCUCUCUCCCCCCUUUAUAUACGGACUAUGUCGCCAUUGGCAGAAAGCAAUACUCAUCAAACAGCUAGAUCUCUGUGUUCACUAGGGUUUGGAGAGAUCUGUGAGAACGGGGAGUGAGGAUGAGAGAAUUUGAGUCUUUUUGCACAGAAAAUCUAUGUGGGUUUUGUUUAAUUAUAAGUUGCUAGAAGACAGAGAAGAAAUGCAACAGAGAAAACUGACAGAAGAGAGUGAGCACUUGCAAGGCACUGUUAUGUGUCAAUAACUUUGCGUGUGCGUGCUCACCUCUCUUUCUGUCAGUUGCCUGACUUCUCGCUUUCUCUCUCUCUUCUCUCAACUUUGUUGGCCUUUUUAUCAUCUACAUAUCACUUACCUUCUUAAUUAUCAUCUCUUUUGUUGUGCACUGGAAUGGUGAUGUGGAUAAGACUGACGCCCUUUCAUUAUCAUUUCGUUAUGGUUUGGUGGAGUAAAGCUCAGAUUUAUAUAUCAGAUUUUGUGAAGUGUGCUAUGUUGUUUUCUUCUACCGGAUCUAGGAAAAGCGGGAGUUUUGAUGAUCAUGAACCCCCACCGGAGAAUGAGAUCAAUAUCAAGUGGGAAGAUACUUCAAGUAUAAAAAUUUCAACGUUGAAAGUGUAGCAAUCAGAGACGCGUUUCUCAGUCAUGGUGGAUUCAAUGGGGUUUCUUGACUUGAAACUAAAGAUUGGCAAGAGCACUUGUUGGUUACUCUAUUCUGAGGCAUUAGUCGAUUUCUCUCUGCUUUUUGUAGUCAAGAACUUGGUUCAUGUGGAUGGUGUCGGUUUGAAGGUCUUAGCGUAAAGAUGAUCCGACAAAAUCUGUCAUGAGAGUGCUUCAGUGAUCCAAUCCUCAGAGACUCAGAAACAGCAGAAGAGGGGAAUCAUAACAUAAGAAGCAAGGUGGUGUUUGGAAAAGGUGUUCUCGAUAUAAUCAAGUACACUAUAUAACAAACAUUCUAGAUGGGUAUAAUAUUUUGUCCUUGGUUUAAAUUUAGGGUUCAUGAAAGUGAUUAAUUAGUAGACAUGAUUUUGUUUUGAACUAAUGCUCUAAAAGUAGUUAGUCAUCCACUAGCUGGACACAAAAUAGUUGGUGUGUUCUCAUCAUGUAGGAUUUUUUUUUUGCCUUACAUUUUCCGAGUUUAGUUCCUCUUAUAGAAUAUGGAUUUGUGGAUUGCUGUUACAGAUAAAUCUUCAAAACGAGA